CACAAAUAAGCCUCUGGCAGAGAUGGAGAGAGGAGGUUCAGGCAGAAGCGACCCCGUCUGAAGAAGAAAGCUCCCGCAGCAUCAGUGGAAAACCUGAGUAACCUGACAUCGUGGUGAAGGAUUCAGCCUGCGUGGACUCAGACAGCCGAGGGAGGAUGGAACCAGACAGGAAGUCAGGCUGCGCUGUGCCCAGCCCAGGGGCCUCCGGCUUCUCUGCAUAGAAUUCCAGCGCCAAGGACACCCAGAGCUCCCUCGAGUCCUGAAGACCCCUAGGGUGCUUCCCCCUGCCCUGCAUUUCUCUGUCUUUUCUCGCAUGCUUCUAGAUAACAGAAAUGGUUCUUAAUAAAUUCCUGUUUACAGUAAAAUUGAUGCUCCUGAGA